CACAGGAAACCGGGGUGGCCACUCCCCAAGGCGUCACCGGAUCGACCCCCCACGUGUUUAUCUACCCAAAUUCCGAUCGUUCUUGGACUCCUCUUCGUCUCCAUCUCGUUCUUGGUCUCCUCGUCGAUCCCUUCACGCCUUCCACGGCUUCCGAAUGCUGAGACCCCGCCCACCGCCACCGUCCUCUGCCCGUCCGGUCACGCCGCGUAGCCCUCCGGCAGCCGGAAUCCUCGUCUCCGGCGUCCGACCGGGAGGGGAACUGCCGCGGGCUCGGAUGAGCGGUCCAGUUGGGGCGUUCUAGGGUUUUUCUUCCCGUUCCUUGAUCUUUUUUCUUCGCGCCUGGGUUACCGGACGACGGUGGUGGGGGUUAGGGUUUCUUGAACGACAAUGGCUCCGGGGCGCAGGAAAGGUGGGGCCCGGGGCAAGGCGAUGGACCAGUUAAAUCUGGGGGAUUUGGUGCUGGCGAAGGUCAAGGGAUUCCCGGCAUGGCCAGCGAAGAUAAGCAACCCCGAAGAGUGGGAGCAAUCACCUGAUCCUAAGAAAUACUUCGUUCAGUUCUUCGGGACUUCUGAAAUUGCAUUUGUUGCACCAGCUGAUAUUCAAGUAUUUACUAAGGAAUCAAAAAGUAAGUUGAUAGCUCGCUGCCAGGGUAAAACUGUCAAAUAUUUUGCCCAUGCUGUGGAGGGGAUUUGUGAGGCUUUUGAAGAACUGCACAAGAAAAGUUCAGAUGAGCUUGAACAGGAUGUUGACAGGACCAGCACUGGUCCUGCAUCUUCUCAAACUGAUUGUUUUGAAGAUAGCAAACAUCUAGUAGAUAACCAUGAGAUGUCUCCAUUAAAAAAUCAGGGGGGAAAACUUGGGCAGAACGAAAGAGAUAAGAGUGAGAACUCUAUUGAUGAGCUGCAUGGCUUGGAGUGCUGUUCACGGAGUCAUGAGGGGACUGCGACCUCUGAUUUGAAGCCUAGUGAUUUAAGUGGAACAGAAUCUUUAGUUUUGUCUGAGUUGAGGAGGAAGAAAGCUUCAAAUACUGAUGGUAUACAUGAGCCACCAGAAAGGAAAGCUUCAGUGUCUAAUUCUGCUUCUGGUACUCCUUCCAUGAAGGAAGAUAAUCUAACUAGUCCUCAUCUUGAUGUCGAUCAAGGUAAUGACAGGGAAAUAUGCUCCAAAACUGAAAUGGUGGAGACUCUUCCAAAGGGCUCUGUGGCUAGCGCAUAUCAGCAUCUUUGUGAUUCAGAAAAAGACCAUGGGGAUGUGUCUUGUGGCAGACCUCUGGGUUCUCCACUUGUGGCAACAUCAGGUCAUUCGAAAAAUGCAUGCAAUGUACAGAAUGUUGUAGAGAAUGGUCAUCUCAUAGCAAAGGUGGUUCGUAAACCAAAAAUAGAACUCAACAAUGACCUGAAAGUACAAAGCAGCCCUGCACUAAAAAGGCAAAAGAAUUCUUAUAUGAAGGGGAAAAAACAACACAGGGAUGAAAAUAUUGCUUCACGUGAUGGUGCCAGACCCAAAAAAGCUUCAAAAUUAGAUACCGAUAUGAACAGUGGAAAGAGAUCAAAUGUUUUGAAAAAGUCAGAGGAGGAUUCUGGAGAAGAUACAUUACAAAGGGGACUUAGCAAGGAGGAGGAGGAAGAGGAAGAUACUACUAAGGGACAUGUCUCUGAAAGGUCACCGUCUUACGAUGGAUUUGGGGAGAAAAGGUCCCAGUUUCGUGGUAAAAAGCAUAUACUGGGUGACAAUGAAGAUUCACAACUAGCUACAAAAUUAAAAUAUGCAGACAAGGGUGGUGCAAUAACCAAGAGCUCAAGAAAUAGCAAUUUAUCUCAUUUUUCUGCUAAAAGUAAAGAGGUCAUAGAAAGUAAGAAGAAAUCUUUUACAACUCUGAAAGCGGAUGGUCAUCUGGUUUCUAAAACAGGAAUGCAUAAUGAUAGGAUGCCCAUUCAAGGCCCACCAACAUCAAAACAGCAUUGUCAUGAAUUGGAGAUGGUAUCAAACUCAGAGACUAAAAGUGCUAGAGAUAAAACCCAUGUUCGCCUUAGACGGAGGUCAUGUCGAAUUGAUGAUGAUGAUGAUGAAGAGGAAGGGCGCAAAACUCCUGUUCAUAAACAAUCUGCUAGCACUUUGAUUAUGGGAAAACCAGACAUAUCAGCUCCUACUGAGAAAUUUCAGUCACAGCAAGAAAGAUACAGUGAUCCUCCAUCAAACAUUAACGGUGGUAUGAUUGAAAACCCAGAUAUUACAAGAGAAGAGAAGUCUUCCAGUGAUGGGACAUCACCUGUUAAAAUCGAGAAUGAUUCUUCGUCUCCUUGUCCUGACAAAAUCGCAGAGAGAAGGGCAGAAAAAGCUUCUGAGUUUCUUAUAUCUCCUGUUCCUGGGAAGCCAGAAUAUCAGAAACCCUCAUUUAGUGAGGUUAGGAAAACCAUUAUUUCACCCAAAACAUCUGCUGGAUCAGGUGAUACAUCAAAGUUAUUAGAGCAUAAAUCCAUCAAGCCCCAGUCGAGAACUACAUCAGUUUUGGUAAAGAAAGCACAAAUUUCUUCAUCCAAACUUUCAAGCCAGACUCCUGAGAGCUUAUCCCGCUCUCAUAAUCAAGCUACGACUGAAAGGAAUAGGUCAUUGUCUAGGUCAGAGAUGGAGAAGGUCAAUUCUAAACCCAAGGUGCAGAUGUCUGAGGUCACUGAAAAUAUGUCUGUCAUUAUUUUUUCUGCUGAGCAUAAUGCUGAGAAGGAUGUUUUAGUGGGAGAACGAUCAGAAACUGCUAUAAAAGAUAAACCGGCAAGUUUAUCAACUGAUUCCAAGUAUACAGGUUCCUUCAAGUCAAUGAAACAUCUCAUUGCAGCUGCUCAAGCGAAGAGGAGGCAGGCACAUUCUCAUUGCCAGCCAUGUGAAAAUGCUUUUCCUGGUUCAUUACCAACACCUGUGAUACAGGGAAGAAGCCCAAGUCCUGCUUUUUCCAUUCCUUUGUCGUCAGGGAAUUCUGUUCAAAUGGAUGCAAAAGAAACUUCUGCACCUUCUGAUUCUCCAUCUGUACUUGCUCGACAAUUGUCAUCAACAAAUCAAGUAGAACUCGAAGAAUAUGAGCACAAAUUUAGUCCUGGAUAUAGACCACCCGGGGGUUCAUUGAGCGGCGGUACUGAAGCUGCUGUUGCACGUGAUGCUUUGGAAGGAAUGUUGGAAACACUUUCGAGGACAAAGGAAAGUAUUGGACGUGCAACCCGUCAUGCUAUUGAUUGUGCCAAAUAUGGAAUUGCUGGUGAGAUUGUAGAACUUCUCAUUCGGAAGCUAGAGUGUGAACCCAGCUUUCAUCGUAAAGUUGACCUCUUUUUCCUUGUGGAUUCUAUCACUCAAUGUUCACAUAACCAGAAAGGAAUCGCUGGAGCCUCAUAUGUUCCUACCGUGCAAGCAGCAUUACCACGUCUUUUGGGUGCCGCAGCUCCGCCUGGAGCUGGUGCUCGUGAGAAUCGUCGCCAAUGUCUUAAGGUCUUAAGGUUGUGGCUUGAGAGAAAAAUUCUGCCUGAGUCGCUUCUACGUCAAUAUAUGGAUGAGAUUGAUGUUCCGCAUGAUGAUGCAAAUGCUGGAUUUUUUCUGAGACGUCCAUCUCGAGCUGAGCGUUCUGUGGAUGAUCCGAUCAGAGAAAUGGAAGGCAUGCUUGUUGAUGAGUAUGGAAGCAAUGCAACUUUUCAGUUGCCUGGACUCUUAUCUUCCCAUGUUUUUGGAGUUGAGGAUGAAAAUCUUCCUAGUAGCAAGGAUGCUGGCAAUGGAUUGGCAGUUGAAGUUGUCAGUGCUUCAGAAGAGCUAGAUACUUGUGCCUUUACUCUAAGUGACAGACAUCAUCACAUACUGGAGGAUGUGGAUGGUGAACUUGAAAUGGAAGAUGUGUCUGCCUUAUCCAAAGAUGAGAAAAGUGUAUCCGGGAAUAAUCACCUAAAACUGGAAUCUCAGCAUCAGAACUCUGACUUAGCUUUUGAAUCUGCAUUGACUGAUCAAACUGACCUUCCCCCUCUACCUGUGGGUCCUCCUCCGUUGCCUUUGGAUCCACCUCCACUGCCUUUGGAUCCUCCGCCUCCACUGCCACCUUUGCCUCCAUCACCGUCGCCGCCGCCGCCGCCACCACCACCACCACCACCACCAUUGUCACCAUCUCCUCCACCUCCACCACCACCCCCACCAUUAUCUGCAGUGUCACCCCUGCCAUCUCUUCUGCCACACCCCCCCAUGCUGUCUUCAUCCCCAUCAUCAUUGUUAUAUCAUCCUUCUAUACAAGAAUAUUGCAGGACCCCAAGUGGCAAUCAACUAGCCCAGAUGACUGCAAAUGCUACCAUCCAGGGCCAGGAUAAUGCUGCUUUGAAAAGUGAAGUGGUUCUGCAGCAGCCUGCUAACUUCAUGACAAGUGGCAUCUACAACACACAACCUAUAGCCAGCCUUAGUUCCUCGAGGCCAUAUGAAUAUAGACAUAAUGACAUGUAUUUAACCACUCAAUCUUCCUAUGCCAGUCACCAGUUUCAACAGGGCAGUGCACCCUUCCACCAAAGACCUUACCAUUCUCUUCCACCUGCACAAACACCCCCAAGUCAUCCCUUUCCACCUGCACAAACACCAUCAAAUCAUUUCUCACAUGUUAACCCUGUGAGUCAACAAAAUAUGCAGCAGCAAUGUAAUCCUUACACCUUGUCAUCUCAUCCUAAUAGCCAGAGGCAUUUUGGUUCGGAUGAACAAUGGAGGGUGCAUUCCAGUGAUUUUAGUCCAGAUAAUCAUCAUAACGCUUGGGUAUCUGGAGGGUCAGGAGCUUCUUUGGUGCAGGAUGGAUUUUUGAGGUCUAACAUGGAAAGACCAUCUUCAAGUUCCGUGUGUUUUCAGUUUCCUUUGAAUACUCAUAUGCCAUCUGGUGGAGAUUCAGUUCCAGGUUGUUUUGAUUUGCAAAUUGGGCAUUUGGCAAAGUCAAAUUUUUAUUAUCAUCAUGUUGUGAUUGCUUUGUUUUUUGAAUUUAUCCAGGCCAUGGUCUUCACCAGAUGUUAUCAUGUAGGCCUGAUAUUCCUCCUCUUAAUUGUUGGAGGCCAGCUUAAUGGUGAAUCUGGUAGUGUUCACUUUGUGCUUUUAGCUGUAUGACAUAUGGAAGGUGGGGACUUGCAACACUGAUAUUUGUGGAGGAGGAGCUUUCCUUGGAAAGAGGCAAUUGCCAUAAGAGAUGGUGGCAAGAUCUAGAACUGCCUGUUGGCAAGGCUUUGUACAUUUUAAUUUUGUCUUGACAAUUGCAUCAAGCAGGCUAAUCGCUGCUAAAUAAGUAGAAAUAUCUGGGUGGAAGCAAAAUAGGCAUGAGAUGAGGAGAAUAUGUGAUUUACUUGAGAGAAAUGAGUAAGAAGGAUUCAGAGUGUGACAUUGGCUGGGAGCAUGGUGAGAUGCUCUUAGCUAGGCAUCAUUAGAGAUGCAAAUGAUGCGGCACAGAAUUCAAAGGAGGGGUGAUUAGGUUGAAGCAGCAUUUGGCUGGUGGUUAUUGGGAUGUGGUCAUGUGUCAGAAAUAUUCACAGGAGGUCUGACAGCUUAUGAAGUAUUUCGCUGAUCAGAAAGCAGCGAAGAAGAGGACAGAGGUAGACCGUCGAGCUGGAGAGCCAGCUUCCUCUAAUUCCAGAGAGUUAGAGGAGGCCUCUGCUCCAUAUGAGGAGGCAGUGAAAGUGAUGGUAGCAGUCAUGGAUUUGAUGAUCAGAGAGAGACUGGAGGAUACGAGAUCACUAUUCAUGAGACAUCGCAAGGUGGUAUUCGAUUCAUCGGUGAGUUUUAAUUUAUAUUUGCCACAAAGGUGGACGACCUGAUAGAUCCCGUGAGGAGAUGAUCUCAUAUAGGUGACAGCCUCUCAGAGGUCGUCCAGCACAUGAUACUGCUGCAAAUGAUUUUGCACGUGGAGUAGGAUCCAUGGAUGUAUCUGGAUUAUUCUCUUAUUAUGUAUCCUAUUACCCGCAGGCAGCUUAUGAUCCAUAUGGAUAUGGUGUAUCCGAGACAUCGGCUUCCAGUGGCUACCAUCCUACGCAGCCCAGAAUAUCUUAUGGAUCGAUUUUGUUACCGACAUAUUUGGAUGAGCCCCUCCACAGUCAUACCAUCAUUCCGAGGAUAACUCUCAGAGUCAGAGUUUAAACGAGAGAUCUGAUAUGUCUUACAAUCUAGAGAGGAUACGUUAUGGGAUGAAUAUUCAGGAUCACAGUGCUACUUGGUUAUAGUAAUGGACAGAUGUUCCUCCGAAGUAUGCAGAUGAUUUGGAUAUCUAUGAGUGACAAAGACACUCGACGAGAUAUUAGAUCGGCAGAGAUCCUGAGGUUUUUGGCUGCAUGUGAGGUGAUCUAUGUAAAUACAUAUCUUAUCAGAAUCAUAUGUGGCUAAUGAAGAAGUUAUGUUAAAUGUUCCUGGCAAAUGAAAACAGCUUCAAAUGCUGCUAUGAAGUUUGAAAAUGCCAUAGGUUCUUGGAGAAAUGUACAGUUCAAUGACAUUCUGCAGAGCAUUUUCAUAAGAUCGGACAGAGGAUGGAGAAAUCCUGGCCAGAACCAGGUUGAGGGUGGAAUCAAACGCUGGUAACUAAUAACCAAGGCCUGGUGACUUUACCAGCUCAACCAGGGGGCACGAUCAUCUUAACAUGGAUACUUUUUAAGGUACUUGUUAAUUAUCAUGGCCUCUGCAAAUUCAGCUGUUUUAUGUCUGUUUAUCCAAACUCUGUGGUUAGUUAUGUACCUAUCCUUUACUAUUCACUAUGAAGAAUCACUAAUGAACCCCUGUAAUAAAUUUCUAGCCCUCCAGAUAUCCGUGAAUUAAUCAAAUCAUCAUCAUCAAAAUCAGUACUUAUAUCGAGUUGUAUAUGGUUCUUCAUAACUCCUGAAUAACAAACAGUAACCAACCUGUGCUCAUCCUGUUUACAGCUAUGGUUGACAAACUAAUCUCUGUAUAUCUCUUCCCACACUUUCUAUAUAUGUUUUUUUCCCCCUUCAGAGGGCAUGGCAAUAAGAGAUGGAACAGAGACUAGCUAGAUAUGGUAAAAUUAGCAGAAGCAUGGACAAAUAUCUUUCAUUUA